rnacentral:tRNA from 1 species
GCCGAAGUGGUGGAACUGGCAGACACGCAGGAUUUAGGUUCCUGUGCGCGUGCGCGUGAGGGUUCGACUCCCUUCUUCGGCA